rnacentral:ncRNA from 2 species
GCACGUUGCGGUGACUGGCGACGCGACGCGGGCAACCGCGGGGGAGCCGCAAGAAUCCACGGGCCGCGCGCCUGGGCCGAGAAC